rnacentral:rRNA from 1 species
AUACGGAGGGUGCGAGCGUUAAUCGGAAUUACUGGGCGUAAAGCGCUCGUAGGCGGCUUGUUAAGUCGGAUGUGAAAUCCCCGGGCUCAACCUGGGAACUGCAUUCGAUACUGGCAAGCUAGAGUAUAGUAGAGGCAAGUGGAAUUCCGGGUGUAGCGGUGAAAUGCGUAGAUAUCCGGAGGAACAUCAGUGGCGAAGGCGACUUGCUGGACUAAUACUGACGCUGAGGAGCGAAAGCGUGGGGAGCAAACGGGAUUAGAAACCCCAGUAGUCC